GUUGUUAUGUCUAAACUAAAUCUGGUCCCAAAUCCCUGGAUACUGUGUGUAUGCCCUGGCUACUGCUCACCUGUAGCAUUACAUCUGACCCCUGGCAGACUGGCCUGCAGUGGCAUCUGCUAGACCAGGAUGCCCAACUAAGACUAUCCAACCAACAACCACGCUAUGAAUGUGAAUUGGCCUAUAUGACUUAACCUAUUGCCUUCCUUACCUUAUGAUAUAUGAUGUUUUUGCCACCUGGGUUGUCCAGAGAGUCUAGAGUUUCCCUGACUGUCAAGGAGGCGAGGGCACACCUGAGGGAUGAACGUUGUGCGUAGAGGAAAAGAUUACCGCCUCUCUAUUUCUGUACCGCAAAGCUAUUUAUUGGUCUUAGGCUGCCGUGGCAGAGAAUGUGCGGGUGCCUGUGAUUUUUUGUGUGUGUGUGUGUGCGCGCAUACAGAGCAGUGUGUUUCUGUGUUUUCCACUUCCCACGAAGCAUCCUACUGCGCACUCCACCAUUUGGAUCUGUCAGAGGGUACAGGAUCUCUCUUUCACGGCUGGACCGAGGACAGUAAGGGAAAUCAGCAACAUCACCGCGGCCUAUCCCAAGCAUCAAGGAAUAGUUGUCACGAUGAUAGUCACCAUGUUAACAGCUAUGUACAUGGUGGUCAGAGUAGUAGAAAAGAUAGGAGUGCUAUUUGCUCGCAGUGAUCCUCCGUUGCCUUUCCUGGUGACCCACCCUCUGCCCUGGCAGGUGCACCACGUGUCACAAAAAAGGAGGAGCAGCGCAACAGCUGAGUGCGACGGCCAGACGAGGAACAGCGUAGGAGUGUUCAGAAAGAUAAAUUCGGACAUCUUCCCCAAUGCAACGCUGGCUGUUGCUGUUGCCACUUUGACUGUACCCUGUCUCCUGACGUGCGAUCGGAAAGACUCUGCGUGCGGCAACGGGUGUGCAGCGGCGCCUCUCAGCCCCACUCUGCCCGUGGAGAAAGCUGCCGCCACCAUUCAGAACCAGUUCAGGAAGUACCAGCAGAAGAAGAAGGAGACCAAGUAGAACCACACCCGCACCACCGGAGCUCUGCAUGACAGACAGACGGACACAAAUACACAAACAGACAGACAAGACAGAGUCCUCUCUGAAAUGUAAAGAGCAGAGGACCAAAGAUGUCAUCUAACUCCGUUAGCCAUUUUUCAUAGCAUGUAUACCAAAGGAAAUAGCAUAGACAUAGAUUGACUUUAUAUGAAAGACCAGUCAAACGUUUGGACACACCUGCUCAUUCAAGUAUUUUCUUUAUUUUUGCUAUUUUCUACAUUGUAGAAUAUUAAUGAAGACAUCAAAACUAUGAAAUAUCACAAAUGGAAUCAUGUAGUAACCAAAAAAGUGUUAAACAAAUCAAAAUAUAUUUUAGAUUCUUCAAAGCUACUUUGCCUUGAUGACAGCUUUGCACACUCUUUCAACCAGCUUCACCUGGAAUGCUUUUACAACAAUCGUGAAAGAGUUCCAACAUUUGCUGAACACUUGUUGGCUGCUUUUCUUUCAGUCUGCGGUCCAACUCAUCCCAAACCAUCUCAAAUGGGUUGAAGUCAGGUGAUUGUGGAGAACAUGUCAUCUGAUGCAGCACUCCAUCACUCUCCUUCUUGGUCAAAUAGCCCUUACACAGCCUGGAGGUGUGUUGGGUCAUAGUCCUGUUGAAAAACAAAUGACAGUCCCACUAAGCACAAACCAGAUGGGAUGGCGUAUCGCUGCAGAAUGGUAACCAUGCUGGUUAAGUGUGCCUUGAAUUCUAAAUAAAUCACUGACAGUUUCACCAGCAAAGCACCCCCACCCCAUCACACCUCCUCCUCCAUGCUUCACGGUAAGAACCACACUUGCGGAGAUCAUCCGUUCACCUACUCUGCGUCUCACAAAGACACGGCGGUUGGAACCAAAAAUCUCUAAUUUGGACUCAUCAGACCAAAGGACAGAUUUCCACAGGUCUAAUGUCCAUUGCCCGUGUCACUUGCAAGUCUCUUAUUUUUAUUGAUGUCCUUUAGUAGUGGUUUCUUUGCAGCAAUUCAACCAUGAAGGCCUGAUUCACACAGUCUCUUCUGAACAGUUGAUGUUGAGAUGUGUCUGUUGCUUGAACUCAUUUAUUUGGGCUGCAAUUUCUGAGUCUGGUAACUAAUGAACGUAGCCUCUGUAGCAGAGGUAACUCUGGGUCUUCCUUUCCUGUGGCGGUCCUCAUGAGAGCCAGUUUAAACACAGCAGGUCAUGGUUUUUGCGACUGCACUUGAGGAAACUUUCCAAGUUCUUGAAAUUACCUUCAUGGCUUAAAGUAAUGACGGACUGUCGUUUCUCUUUCCUUAUUUGAGCUGUUACCAAAUAGGGCUAUCUUCUACAUACCACCCACUACCUUGUCACAACACAAUUAAAUUGCUCAAACUACCACAUGAAGUUGAUUGAGAGAAUGCCAAGUGUCCAAAGCUGUCAUCAGGGUUGGCUACUUUGAAGAACCUCAAAUAAAAAAAAAUAUUUUUGAUUUGUUUAACACUUUUUUGGUUACUACAAUGACUCCAUAUGUGUUCAUAGUGUUGAUGUCUUCACUAUUAUUCUACAAUGUAGAACAUAGUAAAAAAUCAACUCUGGAAUUGGUACGUGUGUCCAAAUUUUGACUGGUACUGUGUGUCGAACAUGACACAGACAUUCAAUCACUCAUUUAAGUGACAAAAUGUUACACACAUCCUGUGUUUCACUAUGUGACUAAAAAUAUAUGUAUACAUGAAUCAUAGGUCCUUUAUAUGCUUAUCGACAUGUAUUUGUGAAGAUAUUUACGUGCGGCAGGUAGCCUAGUGGUUAGAGCGUUGGGCAAGUAACCAAAAGGUUGUUAGAUCGAAUCCCUGAGCUGACAAGGUAAACAUCUGUCGUUCUGCCCCCUGAACAAGGCAGUUCACCCACUGUUCCUAGGCCGUCAUUGUAAAUAAGAACUUGUUCUUAACUGACUUGUCUAGUUUAAUAAAGGUUAAAUAAAAUGUGCGAGAGUAUGUUUGCAUGUGUGCGUCAGCAUCUGUGUGAGAGCAUGCACAUUGUACUGUAUGCAUUACAGUACGUAUCAAAUAGAUGGAUUGUAAAAUAACAUAUAUGUCCAACAAACUCCAUUAAACCCCUCAGUAAUACUGGACUGGUUCUCUUUUUGUUACCUCGUGUUGAAGUAAUGGAUUGCUCUAAUUCCACGUGUGUUAUUUCCUACCGUAUAAUCAGUCAUUCUUGUGAGGUUUUCAAUAAGACUUGCUCGUUUUAGUUUCAAAACGUUUCCCACUGCAAAACAUUUUGCCACGGUCUGUGCAAAUAAAUACACCCCUUGAUCCAGCAUGAAGGAAAGGAUGGAAAAGGAAAGACGUGACUCAUAGAAAGAUAGCUUUAUUGCACAAGGUGUUGGAGUACUCUUUUUCUGGUUUUGUUUGUUUUCAUAGAAAAAAAAAACGG
rnacentral:lncRNA from 13 species